UGGAGUAUGGAAAACAUCCACUGUUAGGGUUCCCUGAGGACUGGAGUUGUGAAACACUGACAUAGAAGGAUAGUAGAGUUACAUAGAGAGGACAAGGAGUUAUUCAUUGGGAAUGCAAGAAAGACUGUUUCACCAUGAGCAUACUGUGGGAAGGAUUCUUUAAUAAACAGUACAUGUGAUCAGACGAAGAAGGGAAAAGUAUUUGGAGGAUUUCAAAGCACAUCUUACUAAGACAAUAGGACUAUCGUAGGACAAUCAUUGCCGCUUUUCGAUCUUACCCUUUCCAAUUAAAUAAAAUGUACUCUU